rnacentral:rRNA from 1 species
GAUGAACGCUGGCGGCGCGCCUAACACAUGCAAGUCGAACGGCACCCACCUCCGGGUGGAAGCGAGUGGCGAACGGCUGAGUAACACGUGGAGAACCUGCCCCCUCCCCCGGGAUAGCCGCCCGAAAGGACGGGUAAUACCGGAUACCCCGAGGUGCCGCAUGGCACCCCGGCUAAAGCCCCGACGGGAGGGGAUGGCGCCGCGGCCCAUCAGGUAGACGGCGGGGGGACGGCCCACCGUGGCGACAACGGGUGGCCGGGUUGAGAGACCGACCGGCCGGAUUGGGACUGAGACACGGCCCAGAGUCCUACGGGAGGCAGCAGUGGGGAAUCUUGCGCAAUGGGGGGAACCCUGACGCAGCGACGCCGCGUGCGGGACGGAGGCCUUCGGGUCGUAAACCGCUUUCAGCAGGGAAGAGUCAAGACUGUACCUGCAGAAGAAGCCCCGGUUAACUACGUGCCAGCCGCCGCGGUAA